GGUAGAACCGAGUUCAAAUCCCUAAGGGGUGGGCUCUAAGAAACCAGGGCUACAAACAAAAGUAGAACUGAUUUUGGAACAUAAAUCACCCAUUUUGCCAAAUAAGAACUCUUCAGACAUUCCCUGAGGCAGGGGACACAGAGACUCGUAGAAAACCGAGGCUGGAGUUUGAUGGAUUAUCCCGGGAAAGGGCCUGGGAACUGUUGCCUCAAAGCUCCUUCCGCGCAUGUGCAGCUCCUCUUCAUUGUUCGACCGCGGCUCCUCUCUCCAGCCUCUCAAUGGCAGACAAUCCCGUCGCCUUCGCUUCUUUGCGUCGCUCAGUGACCCGGCUCUGAAGGAAGGGCGUGGUGUGCACUACAGCUCUCUAUGCUUUUUCAGAGGCAGAAGAGAAUGAACAUAUCCCAGGUGAGUUGUUUACCUCUUACCCCAGGUAUGCAGCAAAUUGUAAGACUAACUUUGCAUUUUUGUUGACCAACCUUCCUUGUCGGUUGUUUUUCAUCAUUUGUUAAUUUCCUGACCUUUCCCCUGCAGUUUACUUAACUUACCUUUUUCUUCAUCCAGUGAAUGAAGUCUGCAUUUUAUUUUUACUCUAUUAUUCCUUUCCCCAG
rnacentral:lncRNA from 1 species